rnacentral:rRNA from 1 species
AAAAAAAUUAAUUAAUUUAUAGUAAAUUAGUAUUGUGAAAGAAUUUUGAAAUAAUUUUAAAUAAAAAUUUUUUAAAAAGUAAUUUUAAUUUAAUGUAUCUUGUGUAUCAGAGUUUAUUAAAAAAAUUUUUUUUAUAAAAAAUUCUCGAAUUUAAAAGAGAUAAUUAAUUAAAAAAUUUAUUGUGGCAAAAAUAUUUUAAAUAAUUAAUUUGAAAUGAGAUGUUAAUCGUUUUUAAAUAUAUCUAGUUUUUUUAGAAAAAAAUUUAAUUUUAUAUUUUUAUAUGUUAAAAUUAAUUAAUUAAUUUUAACAUAUAAAAAUAUUAUAUUUUAAGGGAUAAGCUUUAAAAUAAAUUUAUAUAAUAUUUAAUUUUUUUUGAAAUUUAUAUAAUUUAUAUUGUUAAAAAAUUUUAAUUUAUUAUAAAUAAUUUCAUUAAAAAUAAAAUUUAAAUUAAAAAAUAUUUAUAUUUUUAUAAAAAAAUAUUUUUUAAUAAUUUAAUAAUAAUUAUAAUGAUAAAAUUAGUAUAUAAAUUUUUUUUAAUAAAAUUAUUUUUUUUUAAUUAAUUAAUUAAAAGGAAUUCGGCAAAAAUUUAUAUUCACUUGUUUAUCAAAAACAUGUCUUUUUGAAUUUAAUAUAAAGUCUAAUCUGCCCACUGAUAAAUUAUUAAAGGGCUGCAGUAUUUUGACUGUACAAAGGUAGCAUAAUCAAUAGUCAUUUAAUUGAUGACUUGUAUGAAAGAUUGGAUGAAAUAUAAACUGUCUUUUAUUUAAAUUAUAGAAAUUAAUUUUUUAUUUAAAAAGUUAAAAUAUUUUAAAAAGACGAGAAGACCCUAUAGAGUUUUAUAAUUAAAUAAAUUAAAAUUAUUUAUAAAUUUAAUAAUUAAAAUUUAUUUAAUUAUUUUGUUGGGGUGACAAAAAAAUAAAUAAAACUUUUUUUAAUUAUUUAUCAUUAAUAAGUGAAUAAAUGAUCCAAUUUUAUUGAUUAUAAGAAAAAAUUACCUUAGGGAUAACAGCGUAAUUUUUUUUUUUAGUUCAUAUAAAAAAAAGAGUUUGCGACCUCGAUGUUGGAUUAAGAUAAAAUUUAAAUGCAGAAGUUUAAAAUUUUGAUCUGUUCGAUCAUUAAAAUCUUACAUGAUCUGAGUUCAAACCGGUGUAAGCCAGGUUGGUUUCUAUCUUUUAAAAUUUAUAAUAUUUUAGUACGAAAGGAUUAAAUAUUAAAAUUAAAUUUAUAAUUUUGAAUUUUAUUAAAUUUAAAAUAAAAAU